UACAGAGGUCCCAAGCGUUGUUCGGAUUCACUGGGCGUAAAGGGUGCGUAGGUGGCGGAGUAAGUCGGAUGUGAAAUCUCCGAGCUCAACUCGGAAAUGGCAUUGGAAACUACUCUGCUCGAGGGUUGGAGGGGGGACUGGAAUACUUGGUGUAGCAGUGAAAUGCGUAGAUAUCAAGUGGAACACCAGUGGCGAAGGCGAGUCCCUGGACAACUCCUGACACUGAGGCACGAAAGCUAGGGGAGCAAACAGG
rnacentral:rRNA from 1 species